rnacentral:piRNA from 1 species
UAGGCCCUCUUGACUUACUUCCUCUG